rnacentral:piRNA from 1 species
UGGUAGAGGCGUGCUUUGCAUUGAGG